ensembl:rRNA 5S_rRNA 5S ribosomal RNA
GUCUAUGGCCAUACCAUCCUGAAUGCGCCCAAUCUCGUCUGAUCUCAGAAGCUAAGCAGGGUUGGGCCUGGUUAGUACUUGGAUAGGAGACUGCCUGGGAAUACUGGGUGCUGCAGGUU